AGCGUUGUUCGGAAUUACUGGGCGUAAAGCGCACGUAGGCGGACUAUUAAGUCAGGGGUGAAAUCCCGGGGCUCAACCCCGGAACUGCCUUUGAUACUGGUAGUCUCGAGUCCGGAAGAGGUGAGUGGAAUUCCGAGUGUAGAGGUGAAAUUCGUAGAUAUUCGGAGGAACACCAGUGGCGAAGGCGGCUCACUGGUCCGGUACUGACGCUGAGGUGCGAAAGCGUGGGGAGCAAACAGG
rnacentral:rRNA from 1 species